GAAAACCACUACAACUGGACUUCCAGGAUUUUUAGCUUUCAAGAUAGUCCAUAUUCAGCCUCCAGCAAUUUAUUAAAAGUGAUCUCUGUUUUCCUAUCAGUAUCCACUUUCAGUGACUUCUGUUCCUGAGACUUGGAGGCACGGUCUCAGGCUCAUGUUCUGGCACCAGCCACCCACUGUCAUGGAAUAUGUUGGUGCUUUCUGGGAGAUACACAGACCCAGAUGGGAGAGAACACUGGAGCAGUUCUGAUGAGGCAAAGAACUAUUUGCAGAUUCAAAUUCUUGGUCAAGUGAUGGAAGCAUUUCUCCAGCGGCAUCUGAUGCAUGGUAAUAAGGCUUUUACCAGCUUGAUGAAUGUUCACCAAAAUACCACAAGACAUUUACCCAUGCCCAAGAAAACACAAUGUGAUGACAGGAGGAAAAGAAGUAUGAAAAAGAAAGAAAAUGAAACUAACAUGUGAGAAUAAUAAGUGACCAUACUGAAGAGGUUUGUGUUUCAACCUAUUUUAAG